rnacentral:rRNA from 1 species
GAUGCUAAUACCGGAUAACAACAGAUGAUGCCUAUCAACUGUUUAAAAGAUGGUUCUGCUAUCACUCUUGGAUGGACCUGCGGUGCAUUAGCUAGUUGGUAGGGUAACGGCCUACCAAGGCGAUGAUGCAUAGCCGAGUUGAGAGACUGAUCGGCCACAUUGGGACUGAGACACGGCCCGAACUCCUACGGGAGGCAGCAGGG